UACAUUAUAGAUAAAUUUAUAUUUUAUCAAAAAUAAAUCAGAGACAUCACAAUGUCUAGAGGAUUUCUUCAAGAAGACUGAUAGCAUUU